ACAUUUAUUUGUUGGAUUUCUGGAAUGUAAGAAGAGUUUAGUCAUCGCAGCUGGAUAUCUCCUGGUGUCAGCUGUGGGUCAGUCAGUCAGCUCUCUGCUCCAGCAGGGAACCAGUAGACCCAGUUGGCUGAGGAAGGUUCCACAGUCACCCCGUAACACUGGGGCAGGAGACCAUGAGAGCCAGAAGUCCUCUCAGCCAUCUCACAGCUCUUCUUCUCUGUAAGCAUGGGGAUCAGUGAUGGGCUUGCACAGCGUGGCCAGCAGUGCUGAACUGCAUGUGCUUUGGGGAAAAAUGGGUAACUUCGUGGCAACAGUGGACAAAUGAUGCAGAGUUUCAUUUGCUGUGCCUGCAGAGCAUCCUCUGCUCGUCUCCUCAAGGUGAUAUGCUAAACCCUGCUCCCUGGAGCGUGGCAAUCAGCUCUUGCUGGACUGUGACCAAGCUGCAGAUGUCGGCUGAGGGAAUCGCGGGGUCUCUGCAUUGCUGAGCACCACGGCCACGUCCUGGCCAGCUCCAGUGGGGUGGGAUUGACCCCAGACUCAGAGCUCCCACGAAGACCUGAGUGAGCCAAGAGCUGCAGCCUGGCUGUGGGUGCUCUGAGCACCAUCUCUGUCCCAGGCAGUGCUCUCAGGUGCUGCUGCUGUAUCUGUGAGUUCCUGAAAUGCCUGUUACACUGCCUCAUAAUGGUCACUCCAGCCUAAGCUCUGCUCUGGGUCACUCUUGGCAAUACAAGGGAUGAGUCUGGAAAUUAAUUACUCCUACAGAACAGGAGAGUUUUGAAGAAGAGCAGAAAGGGACCAAGCUUCCCUGUUCUGGAUGCCUGCUUGUGUACCAGACCGCAGCUGUGUUUAUGGGAAGAGACAUUUUCAUGCCAGUAAUUUUCAUGCACACCAGGCCUUGUGCAAUUUUUUCUUUCCAUUUACAAUAUUAUUUUAUAUGAUAAAUUUGAAGUGUGGCUUUCGUGCAUGAA